CCUACGGGAGGCUGCAGUGAGGAAUAUUGGUCAAUGGGAGAGAUCCUGAACCAGCCAAGCCGCGUGAGGGAAGACGGCCCUAUGGGUUGUAAACCUCUUUUGUCGGAGAACAAAACCCGGGACGUGUCCCGGACUGCGUGUAUCCGAAGAAAAAGCAUCGGCUAACUCCGUGCCAGCAGCCGCGGUAAUACGGAGGAUGCGAGCGUUAUCCGGAUUUAUUGGGUUUAAAGGGUGCGUAGGCGGUCCGUUAAGUCAGCGGUAAAAUUGCGGGGCUCAACCCCGUCGAGCCGUUGAAACUGGCAGACUUGAGUUGGCGAGAAGUACGCGGAAUGCGCGGUGUAGCGGUGAAAUGCGUAGAUAUCGAGAGGAACACUCGUGGCGAAGGCGGGUUCCUGGACAUUAACUGACGCUGAGGCACGAAGGCCAGGGGAGCGAAAGGGAUUAGAUACCCUGGUAGUC
rnacentral:rRNA from 1 species